rnacentral:rRNA from 1 species
UAAGCAGGUAGUGAAAUCGUGUGGCUCAACCAUACUCACAUUAUCUGAACUGCAAAGCUAGAGGAUGAGAGAGGUUAUUGGAAUUCCAAGUGUAGGAGUGAAAUCCGUAGAUAUUUGGAGGAACACCGAUGGCGUAGGCAGAUAACUGGCUCAUUCCUGACACUCAGGCACGAAAGCGUGGGAGCAAACGGGAUUAGACUACCCCGGUAGUCCACGCCGUAAACGAUGGAUGCUA